GUACACUCCUACGGGAGGCAGCAGUGGGGAAUUUUGGACAAUGGGCGCAAGCCUGAUCCAGCCAUGCCGCGUGCGGGAAGAAGGCCUUCGGGUUGUAAACCGCUUUUGUCAGGGAAGAAAAGGUUCUGGCUAAUACCUGGGACUCAUGACGGUACCUGAAGAAUAAGCACCGGCUAACUACGUGCCAGCAGCCGCGGUAAUACGUAGGGUGCAAGCGUUAAUCGGAAUUACUGGGCGUAAAGCGUGCGCAGGCGGUUAUGCAAGACAGAGGUGAAAUCCCCGGGCUCAACCUGGGAACUGCCUUUGUGACUGCAUGGCUAGAGUACUGUAGAGGGGGAUGGAAUUCCGCGUGUAGCAGUGAAAUGCGUAGAUAUGCGGAGGAACACCGAUGGCGAAGGCAAUCCCCUGGACCUGUACUGACGCUCAUGCACGAAAGCGUGGGGAGCAAACAGGAUUAGAAACCCCAGUAGUCCCAUG
rnacentral:rRNA from 1 species